rnacentral:rRNA from 1 species
GAUGAACGCUGGCGGCGUGCCUAAUACAUGCAAGUCGAGCGAACGGACGAGAAGCUUGCUUCUCUGAUGUUAGCGGCGGACGGGUGAGUAACACGUGGAUAACCUACCUAUAAGACUGGGAUAACUUCGGGAAACCGGAGCUAAUACCGGAUAAUAUUUUGAACCGCAUGGUUCAAAAGUGAAAGACGGUCUUGCUGUCACUUAUAGAUGGAUCCGCGCUGCAUUAGCUAGUUGGUAAGGUAACGGCUUACCAAGGCAACGAUGCAUAGCCGACCUGAGAGGGUGAUCGGCCACACUGGAACUGAGACACGGUCCAGACUCCUACGGGAGGCAGCAGUAGGGAAUCUUCCGCAAUGGGCGAAAGCCUGACGGAGCAACGCCGCGUGAGUGAUGAAGGUCUUCGGAUCGUAAAACUCUGUUAUUAGGGAAGAACAUAUGUGUAAGUAACUGUGCACAUCUUGACGGUACCUAAUCAGAAAGCCACGGCUAACUACGUGCCAGCAGCCGCGGUAAUACGUAGGUGGCAAGCGUUAUCCGGAAUUAUUGGGCGUAAAGCACGCGUAGGCGGUUUUUUAGUCUGAUGUGAAAGCCCACGGCUCAACCGUGGAGGGUCAUUGGAAACUGGAAAACUUGAGUGCAGAAGAGGAAAGUGGAAUUCCAUGUGUAGCGGUGAAAUGCGCAGAGAUAUGGAGGAACACCAGUGGCGAAGGCGACUUUCUGGUCUGUAACUGACGCUGAUGUGCGAAAGCGUGGGGAUCAAACAGGAUUAGAUACCCUGGUAGUCCACGCCGUAAACGAUGAGUGCUAAGUGUUAGGGGGUUUCCGCCCCUUAGUGCUGCAGCUAACGCAUUAAGCACUCCGCCUGGGGAGUACGACCGCAAGGUUGAAACUCAAAGGAAUUGACGGGGACCCGCACAAGCGGUGGAGCAUGUGGUUUAAUUCGAAGCAACGCGAAGAACCUUACCAAAUCUUGACAUCCUUUGACAACUCUAGAGAUAGAGCUUUCCCCUUCGGGGGACAAAGUGACAGGUGGUGCAUGGUUGUCGUCAGCUCGUGUCGUGAGAUGUUGGGUUAAGUCCCGCAACGAGCGCAACCCUUAAGCUUAGUUGCCAUCAUUAAGUUGGGCACUCUAAGUUGACUGCCGGUGACAAACCGGAGGAAGGUGGGGACGACGUCAAAUCAUCAUGCCCCUUAUGAUUUGGGCUACACACGUGCUACAAUGGACAAUACAAAGGGCAGCGAAACCGCGAGGUCAAGCAAAUCCCAUAAAGUUGUUCUCAGUUCGGAUUGUAGUCUGCAACUCGACUACAUGAAGCUGGAAUCGCUAGUAAUCGUAGAUCAGCAUGCUACGGUGAAUACGUUCCCGGGUCU